UCUUAACCUAUUCUCAAAUUUUAAAUGGGUAAGAAGCCCAGCUCGCUGGGGUGGGGGUGGGGGGGGAAGGCGGGG